GCGUGUGUGGGCCUAAAGUCUCCAAGGUCCGAUGCCAAACCACAAGAAAUACUCAGUGAUGGUCACGCACAAUGAUUCCCAACGCACACAUGAAUUUCUCGAUCCAGAUCGACAUUCCUCCCAAAUUUAAGAUGUGAACGCACACCGAAAAUGCUUCAACAAAGAUUUCACAAAGAAAUUGAAUCACAAACCGACUUGGUGUCAUCGUCCCCAAAGAGAAAUUCAACUCAAACUGCAAAUCUUGAACUCCACCAGAAUCAUGUCAAAAUCCAACUGAAUCUGAAUUCGACAGCCGCAUUUGCAAACACAAUUUCACGCCUCCAAUCGAACUCCAAAACUGCUUUCUGUGAACGAAUCUCCAAUAUCGCCUCGUAUUUCGAUUCACCGUUGCUCAAAUUCGAUGCUCCACUUUCGAUUCGAGUUUGAAAAUAUGAAUUGACGGAAAAAGCGCGAAGGAUUCAAGUAAAUCGACGCGACAUACCUAUGGAAAUGGUGUCGACUUUACCUACCCGUACGGAUGCGCACGAGAGAGAGAGAGAGGAGGCUCGAGAGUGCAGCUGGAAGGUCUUGAGAGAUGGUAGCAAUCGGAACCGUAGCGGCAUUCCAGCACAGUGCCGGAUUUGGAAGGCCUAUGUGCAUCGUCUUGGCUUAUGCAGUUUGUAGUUUUUGUUUGGAUUUAUGUAGCUUGUGUUUCCGCUUGCCGUUUUGAUGCCGUAUGUAUGCCGUUUACAGCUCUCACUGUGUUUCGCUCAUUUGUUGUGCAUUUUGCUGCUUUGAUGGUGUGCUUAUGCUGCCGUUGGCGUUUGGCUUGUUACACGGAGCUUUGCCGUCGGUAGCUCGUUGUGGCCUACACUGCGUCUGUAGCUACUUUCCAUUUUCUGUACUUCACUUUUUGGUUAAGCUUCUUUUCGCUGAAGCUUUGGCUUGGUGCAUGCAAAUUGUGCUGCAAUUCUCUUAGCUACAUGAAGUAUGCUUGUUCUUGUCUUAUUUGAAUGUGGGUUAUGGAGUGGAUGUGGGUUAACAUGGAUUUAAAUGGUUUAAUUGGAUUGGUUACAAAAUGGAUAAUGGAUUUAAUGAAAAUGGAUAUGGAUAUUUGUUAGAGGUAAA